CUGGGAAAUGGGGCAGUAGUAGGGCAUAGGAGCAGUGGUGUGUGUGAGUGGUGCAAUGUGUAAGGGGUGCAGUGUGUAUGAGUGUGUGUGUGUGUGUGUGUGUGAGGGGGACAGUGUGUGAGCAGUGUGUGUGUGUGUAUGAAGGUUGUAGUGUGUCUGAGGGCGGCAGUGUAUGUCAGGGAUGCAGUGUAUGUGUGGGACAGUAUGUGUGUGUAACAGUUGCAGUGUGUGUGAGUAUUGCAGUGUAUGUGUGAGUGUGGGCAAUGUGUGUGUAUGGAGCGGCAGUGUAUGGGGGCAGUGUGUGUGUAUUGGGUAAUGUGUGUGUGUAUGGGGGGCAGUGUGUGUGUAUGGGGAGCCAUGU